AUGAACGCUGGCGGCGUGCCUAAUACCUGCAAGUCGCGCGAACGGACGAGAAGCUUGCUUCUCUGAUGUUAGCGGCGGACGGGUGAGUAACACGUGGAUAACCUACCUAUAAGACUGGGAUAACUUCGGGAAACCGGAGCUAUACCGGAUAAUAUUUUGAACCGCAUGGUUCACAAGUGAAAGACGGUCUUGCUGUCACUUAUAGAUGGAUCCGCGCUGCAUUAGCUAGUUGGUAAGGUAACGGCUUACCAAGGCAACGAUGCAUAGCCGACCUGAGAGGGUGAUCGGCCACACUGGAACUGAGACACGGUCCAGACUCCUACGGGAGGCAGCAGUAGGGAAUCUUCCGCAAUGGGCGAAAGCCUGACGGAGCAACGCCGCGUGAGUGAUGAAGGUCUUCGGAUCGUAAAACUCUGUUAUUAGGGAAGAACAUAUGUGUAAGUAACUGUGCACAUCUUGACGGUACCUAAUCAGAAAGCCACGGCUAACUACGUG
rnacentral:rRNA from 1 species